rnacentral:rRNA from 1 species
UACGUAGGGUGCGAGCGUGUCCGGAUUUAUUGGGCGUAAAGAGCUCGUAGGCGGUCUGUCGCGUCGGCUGUGAAAUCCCGGAGCUCAACUCCGGGUCUGCAGUCGAUACGGGCAGACUGGGAGUUCGGCAGGGGAGACUGGAAUUCCUGGUGUAGCGGUGAAAUGCGCAGAUAUCAGGAGGAACACCGGUGGCGAAGGCGGGUCUCUGGGCCGAUACUGACGUGGAGGAGCGAAAGCCGUGGGGAGCGAACAGG